rnacentral:lncRNA from 1 species
GUUAAACAAGUGCUUGAAGGCAGUAUGCUUGGUAAAAGUCAUCGCCAUUCUCUAAUCUUGAGUACCCAGGGACACGAUACACUGCGGAAGGCUGCAGGGACCUCUGCCCAGGAAAGCCAGGCUUGCAUGAAGGAAAUGAUUUCCUAUGAUUCUGCUUACUGCUUAAAAAAAUUAAUCAAGUUUUCUGCCUGACAAGUGGUUUCCAAAAGGAAAAGCUUUGGGAGAUAGAAGUCCUCGUUUUGACCUCUGCCCUCCUUGUACACCAGGAGCCAGAAAAACUUCAUCUCUUUUACAAGAAACAUUGAGAUUCCUGUAAAAUUAAGAAAUCACACAAUUUGAUGGUCUACAUUAUCUAAAGCAAAUGAGACUUCUAUUUGGAACAAAGACUACCUUGUUGGGAAAUGAGUCUGCAAGUUAAAGUGUUUUCUGGAUCCAGUAUCUGCCGGAGGAGCCCCACCUUCUGCUACUAUUAUGUUCUUCAGAUGAGUAGAAGAGAGUGGGGAGGGAGAGAGCAGGAAGAAGAAAGGAAGAAUAAUGUCUUGAAAUUGAUGAUGCAUAUCAUAAAUUAUUACUCACCCCAUGUUCCCACCCUCGAGAGACCUCCAAACAAUCACCAUGCCACAGUGAACAUUCAGUAACAAAAAUUCAGCCAGGGUUUUCACCAGCAUGAAUGGCAGUGAUUCCAAUCAGGAAAACAGAAAGAGGAGAGUUCAGAGCCACCUAGAAUGGCUCUUGCAAGAUACGAAAUCAAGGCAGCAGCAACAGGGCUGAACAUUCCUCAUCCCUAACUCUCCCUUCACCAGUAGGAAACCCAGGAUAACUGCAAUCACCGCAGGCCCAUCUGGCCUGAAGUUCUACUACUAGUAGCCCUCCAUGGGACCUUCUUAAGGAAGCAUGUCAACUCAGGUAAGGGAUGUAAGGGGAUGGAUGACCCUUUGAGGCCAAAGUUGGAGCAAAAAACACCAGAUGUUCCUGUGCACUGCUCCUAAGAGAUGGUUCUGAAGACCAGUUCGGGGAGAGGUCAAAAUACUGGACAGAAUCUCAGCAACAUGGAACCUCAAACUAAGUGACAGUCACAGACAACUCUUCCCCAAAGAAAAUAAGCACAGACAUGGUUUGUGGUAAGCAGAAUUAUAAAGAUGAAUUCCCAUCUCCCUGUCAGAUUACCAGUAUGGUAAAUUACCAGAUUACCUGGUUAUUUAUUCAAACACUAAUACAGUUAUUGCCUUGAUGGAAACAUACAGAUACAAUUAAAAUCCCAAGUACCAAAUAAA